rnacentral:tRNA from 1 species
UCCUGGGUGGCUCAGAUGGUAAAGCAUCUGCCUACAAUGCAGGAGACCCGGGUUUGAUCCCUGGGUCAGGAA